UACGGAGGGUGCAAACGUUGCUCGGAAUUAUUGGGCGUAAAGCGCACGUAGGCGGCUUUGCAAGUCGGAUGUGAAAUCCCUCGGCUCAACCAAGGAAGUGCAUCCGAAACUGCAGAGCUUGAGUACCAAAGAGGAUCGCGGAAUUCCCGGUGUAGAGGUGAAAUUCGUAGAUAUCGGGAGGAACACCAGUGGCGAAGGCGGCUAUCUGGGCUGCAACUGACGCUGAGGCGCGAAGGCUAGGGGAGCAAACAGG
rnacentral:rRNA from 1 species